rnacentral:lncRNA from 1 species
UUUUUUUUUUUUUUUAUGUCUUUUUGCUAUUUCUUUGGGCCGCUCCCGCGGCAUAUGGAGGUUCCCAGUCCAGGGGUUGAAUCGGAGCUGUAGCCACCGGCCUACGCCAGAGCCACAGCAACGCGGGAUCCGAGCCGCGUCUGCAACCUACACCACAGCUCAAGGCAACGCCAGAUCGUUAACCCACUGAGCAAGGGCAGGGAUCGAACCCACAACCUCAUGGUUCCUAGUCGGAUUCGUUAACCACUGCGCCACGACGGGAACUCCCCUGCUCAUUUUCUUAUUGAGGAUCCUUUCCAUGUGCUGAGUAGCAUCUCUCUGGCUGUUUUCAAGAUUCUCUUGGGAUUCUGACACUUUCAUUAUGAUGUAUCUUGUUGUGGGUCUCUCAGUUCAUCUUCCUUGGCAUUUGUUGAGCUUCAUGGAUGUUUAUGUUUUUCAUACAACUUGGUAACUUUGACCAUUAUUUCUUUAAAUGUUCUCUCUGCCUCCUCUGGGAUUCCCACAAUGCGUACAUUUAUCUGCUUGACAGUGUCCCCUUGGCCCCUUAGUCUCUGCUUACUUUUCAUCAAUAUUUUUUCUUUCUGUUCUUCAGAUAAUUUCUAUUAGUCUAUCUUCAAGAUUUAAUGAGGAUAAAUCUGCUGCUCCAAUCUGCUGCUGAAUCUCUUUAGUGAAUUUUUCAUUUCUGUUACUGUCCUUUUUCAGCUCUAGAAUUUUUUUUAAAGUUUCCUUUUAGGUUUCCUAUCACUUUAUUGCUAUUUCCAUUUAAUUCAGAUUGUUUUCUUAACUUGAAGAAAAGUCAAGUUCUUUGAGCAUCUUUACAACAGUUAAACUCUUUGUCUAGUAGGUCUGCCAUCUAGCCUUUCACAGGGAUAGUUUUUUUCCCCCCUGUUUGAACAAACCAUUCCUUGUUAUGCCUUGUGAUUCUGUUAUUGUUGAAACCAAUAUCUGAAUCCAAUAAUGUGGUAAUUCUGGAAGGCAGUUACGCUCAUCACUUUGCCACCAAUGCACACUAUGAUGUGCUAAUUCCAGAAAUCACAUUCUCCCCCUUCCUCAGUGCUUGCUGUUUUGUUUUUUUAAUUUUUUUUUUUUUUUUUUUUUUUUUUGUCUUUUCUAGGGUCACACCUAUGGCAUAUGGAAGUUCCCAGAAAAGGUAAAAAGACAAAAAAAAAAAAAAAAAAAGACUUUGGAAUGCUGAGGGAUGAAGAAUCUCGCCUAAGGUCACAGUGAUUCAGAGACAGAAUCCAAGCCCCCGAUUCCUGGCGAGGCACUUUGGCGUUACACGGCUGGGAGAUGCUCCAGACAAACAGGCUGGAGCGGGAAGGCGAGGAGAAUGUGAGAUCAAGGAAUGAGGAAGAGAGAGAAGCAGGGAAAGCAUUUCAACUCUGAGUCUCCUUUAUAAAAGCAGCAGCCAACCAACAAGCCCCAGGCUUGUUAGCUUGGGAGGCCGUUGAGAGCGGCUGUCAAGAGAGGCCCAGCAACCCCCUGCCCCCAACCACACACCCAGUCCUUCCUGUGCUGCAGUCCUGGGCCUGUCACCGGGGAACAGGUCCACGGUGCUGCAGGUGUUUCUCUGCCUCGAGGGUUCCACCGGGACUCGACGCUGCCAGGCGCUCACGCUCUCCUCUCCUCCAGUCUGCAGCUUCCUCCAAGAAGGGACACUGCCAUGGACGCAGGCAGGCCCCGGGCCCCAGAGUCCCAGGGCUCAGCCUCUUCCCAGGCACCUGCUCCCGGCUACCGCGUGGAAACGCACUCCCAAACUCAGCGCGGGGGCACAGCCGUCCUUUUCCUGCUCGUGAUGCCGCCGCUCUGCACGCAGACUGCUCUCUCUGGGCUGCUCGCCUGGUGACCCCACCUGGGCUCAAUGGAUGCUCCUGCAGGCCUGGUGGUUUGUGCUGUCACUUGGGCCACCUGUGUCCAGAAGGUUGUCCCAAACUUCUUUACAGGGUGGCAGAGUUUUCAGCAAGCAAGCCCUGAUGCUCGUGUCACGCUUGCUAAGGUUCCAAGCAGCAAAGACACCCCUAAGCAAAGCCCAGAGGCGGCGCAAGGCAAGGGCUCCCUGAGGCCGCUCCGCUAACAGUCUCUCCCACCAGGGCUGUCAGAGAGAAGAGGUCAUCAGGCCACCUCUGCAGUCGGGAGCAGGUGAGGGCACGGUUCUGUCCUAACCCUGCUCCGAAGGCCUGGAGGGCUGGUGGGGCCUCACUGUGCCGAUGGGUGGGAAGCACCGGGCCCCCAGUAGGUACCGGGCCAGUGUCCUGGGGCUGUCGAGGGGCCAGGGACCCGUGGGACUGACCUUGAUGGCUGGACAGCAUCUUGAGACAGGCCUGGAAAGGGACAAGGAGGGCAAAUGUCCACUCUGGAGAGCCCUGCACCAUGGGUGGGGAGGUGGGGGAGCCGGCGGCGGGAUGACCAGGCCAAGUCGGCCCUGGGGGCCAGCAGGGGUGGGGCUGAUGCUCUGCUACCAGCAGGGCAGCUGGCCCACAGCUACUGGAACCAUCUUGGUGAGGAAGUCAAGCCCUGUACGAGGCACUGAGCAGGCCCUGGAGACCAAGUGCCCUUGCAGGAAGAGAGGCCACCCACCGCACUGGCCCUGGGCCUGGAUCCAAGGCAGGAAAUGGGGCCGUGCUUGCCGCCACCACUGGCCGAGGGGAGGCUUAGGCUGCACCCAGCCAUGGGCUGUCGCCAACCCGAGAGGCCCCACCUCAUCCUCCCCACGCUGGCCAUCUGCCUAGCCACAGCCUGGGCAGGAGGACCAGAGAGAGAGGCUGCCCCAAGGCCAGCAGAGUGACCUUAAGCGAAGCAAGUCACCUCAGUGGUCCGGCCUCCAGCUCCUCGGGUAAGUGGGGCCACCUGUCCAACAGCACGGGCUACUCCCAAGCCUCAGCGCAGCGCUGGCAAGGGGCCGCGGGAGUCCGCUGUCCAGAGGGGUGGCGACGGGAAGAAAACUGCUUCUUGGGUCUUUCUAGUUUUGAACAUACGAACUGCAAGUUACUGGCCACACGUACGUUAUAAACAACACACACGCACCGAGGUACCUGGUCAUGAAGUUCCUUCUUGAUAGAGUUUGACACCAGGGCCACUCGAGUGUCACUGGUCUGGAGGUGACACGAGAGGUGGGGAUCUCCCAAGAGAGGUGCGGGUUCUGUCUGAAGGCCCAGGAGCUGUGAGAGGCUUGGCCCUUCCCCUGACCCGGGAGAUGCCAGCCACAAGCACGUCCCCAGCCUGGUCCUCGGCGAAGGAUGAGACGAGCCGCUUACGCAGCGCCCCUUCUGCGCAAGGCCCCUGGGCUGGACCGAGGGGCAUCCAGGCACUACCUCGGUUAUGCUACGUGGCCACCAUCCUCGCUGCACAGAAGGGGAAACAGGCCUGGGGGGCUAAGGGAACGAGCAACAUCCCCCCAGACCCCUCCACCGAGCGAGGGUCAGGUCUGCGUCCCAGGCCUAAGAGGAGAGGCCGCAGGGCCGAGUCGGGCCUCCGGGACGUCCAGCCCCCACUCAGGCAUCUUCUCCUCGUCCAUCUCGGGCGAAGGGUGCUUCUCUUCGUCUUGGUUUCCUCUUCUACGAAACCGGGCGCCACCGCGUUCUCACAGGCUACUACGAGCAGGACGUGCAGCUGUGCGUGCUUGGGCCUUCGGGGGCGAGGCGGUCUUCAGUAAGGCAAGUGACUAUUACUAAAAGCCACAAACAACAUGCUCCAUGUGAUUAUCCACAGCGUAAAACUUAAUUGUUGCUUAAUUUCUUUUCAGUCAAUUAAGUGCCAGGAGCCACCGUACGCAAAGUAACUGACAGAGUCUUUGCAGCAGGACCAGGAGGCCCUUCCAGCAGAGCUUCCCCUCGGGCCGAGUGCUGGCAAGACAUCCGGGGCACCGGGGCCGGCCCAGACCUGAGGCCAGGGGGUCCCUAAGGAGCACGACCGCCGGAAGUUCACGUGGGACUAUUGCGCCUGCACCCUCGCCCGACAGCCGAGGGCGGCCUGGAAAGGAGCCUGUGGAGCAGCCGCUGCGCGGCGCUGCUGGGAACGCGGCAGCAGGGAACGUCCGAGCGGCAUCGGCCAAGGGCAGGAAGCCGGGCUGGUGUGAGGGUCCCCGGGGAACCAUAUGAACCUCUGACACCCUCCAGCGGAUGGUGAGAAACGGAGCCCCAACUUGGAGAAGGGGGCUGGCUCGUCCCACGUAAACCUCAGGGCUGGCUGUCACUCCUUCUCCAGCUGUCACCUCCUCGGGGACGCCUUCCGCCAGAAUGCCCCGGGCAAGACGGCCCUCCCCAUGUCUCCCUGAGAUCUCAAACACUAGACGGCGUCUGUGCGGCUCAGCCAGGCCGGAACCCUGCCGGCCAGCGUGCAUCUUAGCCGGGCAGCGCCCCGGGAAGGGGGAGGGCAGCGAGCACCGGAUGGGAACGGAGCAGCUGAAAACCAGAGUCCACCAAUGAUGCUGCAACCCCGCUUCAAACGUACAACCACAGGCCUCUAGCUGAAUUCAUUCUUCCCCUCGAUACUGUGGCAAUAAAUAAAUAAAUAGCAGAAGACUCAAGAAACAAGCAAAGAGCCCAGAAAACUGCCAAUUUCAGUUCACCCGCCUCUGGAUGCUCAGGACUGGCAGCUGCAGUCCCGUACCCUGGGAGUCGAUCAUAAGCCAUACAGGGCUCCUCCCUCAAGAGCAAGAGCAGCGGGCUUUUGCCUUUUCUCCUCAGGGCACCUGGCGUCCCCACGACGUCUGUAACAAGCAUCUGGGUGCCAUUACCACCAGCUGUGGCGACCAGAUGCCUGGGACAGUCCUGAUCCCAUGAAACGCUCAUAAAACACCUAACUUACCACAGGGCUGGAAGGGCAGAGGGCAACACACCACCUCACUCACAGCUGAUGGAGGAGGAACUGGCACAGCCUCUCUGGAGGAUGGAUGGCAGUAUGAACCCAUGCAAAAAUGAAGAGACUUUUGACCCCAAAUUGCAAUCCUAGGUGCUCAUUCUACCACUACCCUUGCAGGUAGGUAAAAGGACAUAGGUUAGUUCCAGUCUGCUGUUAAUACAGAUGACAUUUCAGUGACCACCAGCUCAAUAAACUUAGAGUCAUAACCAGAGUACCAUAAUCAGGACAUCAUGAAACCAGCACAAAGCAGAAGCAACUUUUUUUGGCCCCGCCUGCUGUCUGCAGAAGUUCCCGGGCCAAGGCUCGAACCCACAUGGCCCAAGUCGCUGCAGUGACAACGCUGAGUCCCUAAGCGGGGCCAGCUGGGAGCUCUGGAGCGAGGCAACUUUACGUCCAUGUGCCAAUGUGGAAAGACCAGGAUGAGGUGAGGGCGUGUCAAGCGCAAAGCGAGGUGUGACGAGCAUACGCAGAACAGCCAUCCCUGCCCUGCGGCAGAGCAAAGCCCACAGCAAUGCCAGGCGGCUUAAGACAAGAUGCAAGGCUCUGUUUUUCUAGAAGGUAAAUGGGGCAUUCUCUGCAGGCAAGGGCCCUGAUUACGGCUGGAGAUGAGGCGCAGCUGGGAGAAGGGGGAAUGUCGGGGACGUGAGAAUGGGAAAGCCGGAGCACUAGCUCGGGUGACUGGGAGGCCCUGCACCCUCACUGGCAGUGGCGACAGAGGAAGACACUCGGGGAACUUCAGAACAGCCGUGCUUCUCAUCUGAGGAGCAGAGACAGCAGCGCCGUCCACCAAGGAGAAGGGGUGGGCAGAGACCCGCGUCUCGGACACGCUGUUCCGCGGUUCUGAUGGGCGCAGGGGUGGCGCAGAGCUCAGCUCCGGGGCGCACCGGGGGCCCACAGGUGACCGGAGCCCCGGUUCGGGGGUUAGCUGGUCCAGGGAGGGCGAGCCCAAGGAGGGUAAGGCUGGUGGUCGGCUUAAGGCCGCAACAGGGCCACGCGUCCUCGGCAGGCCAUCCUGGGAGACGGGCUCCACGCGGCCCAGGACCAGAGAGUAAGUGGGGACCCUCCGUGCGCCUGUCCAGGCCCCACUGAGGCCCAGGCUCGAAGCGGCCGCAGAGACGAAGGAGCCUGGUUCUACGUCCGGCGGGAGGGGAGACCGCGUUCGCCUCUGACUUCCCGCGCCGGCACCGAGCACGGUCCUGGUCCCGGGCACGCGGAAGCAAGCGCGAGCCUCUGCCAGCAGGGAACCGGGGGGCUGGGGACCCCACCUUGGAAGCAGGGGGCGGGGCCUGUCCACCCGCCCGGCAGGCAGCGGGCAGGCGGCGGGCAGGCAGCGGGACGCAAGGCGCCCCCGUGUGCAGGGUCCUCCCCUCCAGGAGAGGGGGCCGGGGCCUGGGCCCGAGCCUGCCCUCACCUGCCUGGACGCCCGCGGCGGUCUGCGCCGAUCCUGGAAGCCUUUCCCCC